rnacentral:rRNA from 1 species
AUUGAACGCUGGCGGCAGGCCUAACACAUGAAAGUCGAACGAGUGGCGGACGGGUGAGUAAUGUCUGGGAAACUGACCGAUGGAGGGGGAUAACUACUGGAAACAGUAGAUAAUACCGCAUACCAUCGGAUGUGCCCAGAUGGGAUUAGCUAGGAGGUGGGUGAACGGCUCACCUAGGCGACGUGCACUAGCUGGUCUGAGAGGAUGACCAGCCACACUGGAACUGAGCCACGGUCCAGACUCCUACGGGAGGCAGCAGUGGGGAAUAUUGCACAAUGGGCGCAAGCCGGAUGCAGCCAUGCCGCGUGUAUGAAGAAGGCCUUCGGGUUGUAAAGUACUUUCAGCGAGGAGGCGUUACUCGCAGAAGAAGCACCGACUAACUCCGUGCCAGCAGCCGCGGUAAUUC